rnacentral:rRNA from 1 species
AGUGAACGCUGGCGGUAGGCCUAACACAUGCAAGUCGAACGGCAGCACAGUAAGAGCUUGCUCUUACGGGUGGCGAGUGGCGGACGGGUGAGGAAUACAUCGGAAUCUACUUUUUCGUGGGGGAUAACGUAGGGAAACUUACGCUAAUACCGCAUACGACCUACGGGUGAAAGCAGGGGAUCUUCGGACCUUGCGCGAUUGAAUGAGCCGAUGUCGGAUUAGCUAGUUGGCGGGGUAAAGGCCCACCAAGGCGACGAUCCGUAGCUGGUCUGAGAGGAUGAUCAGCCACACUAGAACUGAGACACGGUCCAGACUCCUACGGGAGGCAGCAGUGGGGAAUAUUGGACAAUGGGCGCAAGCCUGAUCCAGCCAUACCGCGCGGGUGAAGAAGGCAUUCGGGUUGUAAAGCCCUUUUGUUGGGAAAGAAAAGCAGCAGGUUAAUACCCCGCUGUUCUGACGGUACCCAAAGAAUAAGCACCGGCUAACUUCGUG